GAUGAACGCUGGCGGCGUGCCUAAUACAUGCAAGUCGGGCGAACAGACGAGGAGCUUGCUCCUCUGACGUUAGCGGCGGACGGGUGAGUAACACGUGGAUAACCUACCUAUAAGACUGGGAUAACUUCGGGAAACCGGAGCUAAUACCGGAUAAUAUAUUGAACCGCAUGGUUCAAUAGUGAAAGACGGUUUUGCUGUCACUUAUAGAUGGAUCCGCGCCGCAUUAGCUAGUUGGUAAGGUAACGGCUUACCAAGGCGACGAUGCGUAGCCGACCUGAGAGGGUGAUCGGCCACACUGGAACUGAGACACGGUCCAGACUCCUACGGGAGGCAGCAGUAGGGAAUCUUCCGCAAUGGGCGAAAGCCUGACGGAGCAACGCCGCGUGAGUGAUGAAGGUCUUCGGAUCGUAAAACUCUGUUAUUAGGGAAGAACAAAUGUGUAAGUAACUAUGCACGUCUUGACGGUACCUAAUCAGAAAGCCACGGCUGACUACGUG
rnacentral:rRNA from 1 species